CAAGUACUUCCUCUGUCCUAAAUUUUUUGUUUUAGAUUUGUCUAGAUAUGAAUGUAUGUAGUCACAUUUUAGUAUCAAGAUACAUCUAUUUUAAAAUAAAUUUAAGACAAGAAUUUUGGGACGGAGGGAGUAGCAU
rfam:Hordeum vulgare subsp. vulgare, WGS project CAJW01000000 data, contig: morex_contig_138987